rnacentral:rRNA from 1 species
AUUGAACGCCGGCGGGAUGCUUUACACAUGCAAGUCGAACGGCAGCACGGACUUCGGUCUGGUGGCGAGUGGCGAACGGGUGAGUAAUACAUCGGAACGUGCCCAGUCGUGGGGGAUAACGUAGCGAAAGCUACGCUAAUACCGCAUACGAUCUAAGGAUGAAAGCGGGGGAUCGCAAGACCUCGCGCGAUUGGAGCGGCCGAUGGCAGAUUAGGUAGUUGGUAGGGUAAAGGCCUACCAAGCCGACGAUCUGUAGCUGGUCUGAGAGGAUGAUCAGCAACACUGGGGCUGAGACACGGCCCAGACUCCUACGGGAGGCAGCAGUGGGGAAUUUUGGACAAUGGGCGCAAGCCUGAUCCAGCCAUUCCGCGUGCAGGAUGAAAGCCUUCGGGUUGUAAACUGCUUUUGUACAGAACGAAAAGGCUCUGGUUAAUACCCGGGGCUCAUGACGGUACUGUAAGAAUAAGCACCGGCUAACUACGUGCCAGCCGCCGCAGUAA